AUUGAACGCUGGCGGCAUGCUUUACACAUGCAAGUCGAACGGCAGCGCGGGCUUCGGCCUGGCGGCGAGUGGCGAACGGGUGAGUAAUGCAUCGGAACGUGCCCAGUAGUGGGGGAUAGCCCGGCGAAAGCCGGAUUAAUACCGCAUACGACCUGAGGGUGAAAGCGGGGGACCGAAAGGCCUCGCGCUAUUGGAGCGGCCGAUGUCGGAUUAGCUAGUUGGUGGGGUAAAGGCUUACCAAGGCGACGAUCCGUAGCUGGUCUGAGAGGACGACCAGCCACACUGGGACUGAGACACGGCCCAGACUCCUACGGGAGGCAGCAGUGGGGAAUUUUGGACAAUGGGGGCAACCCUGAUCCAGCCAAGCCGCGUGCGGGAAGAAGGCCUUCGGGUUGUAAACCGCUUUUGUUCGGGAAGAAAUCCUCUGGGCUAAUACCCCGGGGGGAUGACGGUACCGGAAGAAUAAGCACCGGCUAACUACGUG
rnacentral:rRNA from 1 species